UGUAGUCAUAUGCUUGUCUCAAAGAUUAAGCCAUGCAUGUCUAAGUAUAAGCAAAUUUACUGUGAAACUGCGAAUGGCUCAUUAAAUCAGUUAUCGUUUAUUUGAUAGUUCUCACUACUUGGAUAACCGUGGUAAUUCUAGAGCUAAUACAUGCGAAAAACCUCGAGUUAAAUCGAGGUGUAUUUAUUAGAUAAAAAACCAACGCCUUCGGGCUUUUCGGUGAUUCAUAAUAACUUCACGUAGCGCAUGACUUUGUCGGCGCAAGAUCAUUCAAAUAUCUGCCCUAUCAAGUUUCGAUGUGAGGGUAGUGUCCUCACAUGCUUUUGACGGGUAACGGGGAAUUAGGGUUCGACUCCGGAGAGGGAGCCUGAGAAACGGCUACCACAUCCAAGGAAGGCAGCAGGCGCGCAAAUUACCCAAUCCCGACACGGGGAGGUA
rnacentral:rRNA from 1 species